rnacentral:rRNA from 1 species
GAUCAUGGCUCAGGAUGAACGCUGGCGGCGUGCUUAACACAUGCAAGUCGAACGAUGAAAGCGGGAGCUUGCUCCUGCUGGAUUAGUGGCGAACGGGUGAGUAACACGUGAGUAACCUGCCCUUGACUCUGGGAUAAGCGUUGGAAACGACGUCUAAUACCGGAUACGACCUUCGGAGGCAUCUCCUGGGGGUGGAAAGAAUUUCGGUCAAGGAUGGACUCGCGGCCUAUCAGCUAGUUGGUGAGGUAAUGGGCUCACCAAGGCGACGACGGGUAGCCGGCCUGAGAGGGUGACCGGCCACACUGGGACUGAGACACGGCCCAGACUCCUACGGGAGGCAGCAGUGGGGAAUAUUGCACAAUGGGCGCAAGCCUGAUGCAGCAACGCCGCGUGAGGGACGACGGCCUUCGGGUUGUAAACCUCUUUUAGUAGGGAAGAAGCGAAAGUGACGGUACCUGCAGAAAAAGCACCGGCUAACUACGUG